UACAAGUACCGUGAGGGAAAGUUGCAAAGAACUUUGAAGAGAGAGUUCAAGAGAACGUGAAAUCCCUGAAGUUGAAGCAGAACGAGUCGAAAUUGCUAAGCAGUGAAGUGGUUUGGUUUUACCGGCCAUGUAGCUGUGGUGCUGCGCUGGUUGCGCUGUCCGAGCUUUCCUGACUAGUUAGUGUUGCCCACCUUCGUGUGGUAUCUUGCUUUCUGGAAUGGUCUGCCGUGUCAGUGUUUAGCUUGCCCUCUGGGUGAGAACCGGUGUUAAUGUCGAUCACCGUUCUGUCCCGUCUUGAAACACGGACCGAGGAGUGUAACUUGUGCGCGAGUCAGAGGGUGUUAAACCUUACGGCGAAAUGAAAGUAAAGGUCGAUUAAUCGGCUGAGAUGGGAUCCUUGCUUUAUAGCUUGGCGCACCAUCGCCCUGUCUCGAAAGCUUGCUUUUGGGCAGAGGUAGAGCGUACAGGUUGCGACCCGAAAGAUGGUGAACUAUGCUUGAGCAGAACGAAGCCAGAGGGAACUCUGGUGGAAGUUCGUAUCGGUUCUGACGUGCAAAUCGAUCGAUAGACUUGAGUAUAGGGGCGAAAGACUAAUCGAACCAUCUAGUAGCUGGUUCCUUCCGA
rnacentral:rRNA from 1 species